ensembl:lncRNA
CUUUGGGGUAGGCGGGACUGGCCAGGCUGAGUGGUGUUUGCGGGUUGCUUGGAAACCCUACCAACGCUGCUGUCAAUCAAGUCUGCUGUUGCACAAGCUGGAUUGGACCUGCAAGUCUUCCAACUUUGUCUCAUACGUAAGUGUGGUUUCAUUUUAUAUUCUUAGUUUGAAAAUGCUGCUCGCAAGUGCAGUUUUUAAGGUUAAAUUAAAUUACUGUAUGCUGCGAUGUUUCGAUAAUGGGUCACAGGCUUUGUAGAGUAAAUGUGAAAUAAAAAAAUAAACAGAAAUAUUUUAUUUCUAAUUGACUUGUUAUUUGCGCAAAUGACAAAUAUUUAAUCAAAUGCACCUGCAUUACAUUCUCGUGAGUCUGCUCUGCCCACAGAGCUGUUCUUUGAAGAAAUUUUUCAACAACCUGAAUUAAUAGCCUACAUUUGCUUUUAUAGCCUCAUGAUGCAUCCAAUUUGGAAGUCAAUGGACAACUUUUCUACCCUGUCUUCAGUGAGAAUAAUUCCACAAUUGUGUUAAAGACAUGAGUAUGUUUGUAUGUGAGCUGGCCACUAAACACCAGUAGGUCAUCAACUGUGUUCAUGAAAGGAAGCUCAGCAGUCUGUAGGCCCCUAGGCAAAAAGGUAUUUGUUUCCAGGGGAACAUAUGACCAACAUCAACCCCCACUCACUACCACAAACCUCACUGCUCCAAGGUGUUAAAGAAAGUUGUGAAAUAGUGGCUAAAACAUUUUUUUUUUUUUAAGGAAAUGGCCGAUGGAAAUCAUGAAGGAGCUGAGGAAGAUGCUGAAGAGGACACUAAUGAGAUUCCUUAUACUGACCAGGAUGAAGUCAGCCAUGCUCCUCUGCCACAGGACCAAUGCGAUCUCCUGUUAGAUGCCAUCGAUGCCCAGUUGAGUCGCCUGCGGGUGCAGAACAGCAGCCAUGGGAUUGAAGGUUUCUCCAGAAAAAACUAUUGCAUGAAUACAGUUCAUGUGAGCAGGAGCCAGUCCAUGAGCAGGGACACAGGUUUGGGAAGUACCAUUCCCACUAAUGACUCCCCCAUAUCUUGCCUUGACUUGGUAUGCUCAGAGAAAAAGGACCUUUCUUCAGAGAAGAGCUCAAGAGGCAGGGUGGAUGCUUCUGAUCAGGAGCAGAGGGCAGCGUACGAGAAAGAAGUCGUUCUAGAGUCCUGGACAGAGGAGUGUCGUUGGCGGCUCGAGAGGCUGUUGGGGGAUGAUGCCUGUGGGGGGGUAUUGAUGGAAGAGCUGCGCCCCCCUGCAGAAAGCGUGUGCACCGAGGACUUUGCCGUGCGCUUCAGAGACGAGAUGGUGGCGGGGCUACCAGACGGGACCACACCGAGACUGGCUAGAGACCGGAGUAACAACAUGGGACAGCCCUCUACACAGGAAGGGUCUGAUAGCAGAGCAGCCCUCUCAGGCACCUGUCCGAAAGAGGGCUGCUCCUGUCCAUUUCUGUUACCCCAGCCAGCCACGGUGUCAGUGCCUGGUACUAUCAGCAGCAGCAGCAGUGGUGGUACGGGAGUUGUCACUGAGGACCGUUCCAGUUUAGAGCAUGAGGGAACCAAGGAGAACAGGAGCCAUUCUUCUAGAGCCACCACCAGACGCUUGGCAGGAGUGCCAGUAUGGAAUUUUGACACAGUGACCAUGGACAGUGACCUGGAGUCUGUCCGCACAGAGACGAUCAGACAGCACAUCAACAGCAGGCCAGGAUGCCUUUCUGCCAUUCAGUCUGUCGAGCACAUGGAUGGUCUCUACACUGACCACACUGACUGUGACACAUCAUCUCAGGAGCUGAGUGAUCUCCAGGUUAUCCCUGUGCUGAGCGCUAGCAAUGGACCUGUGACCAGCGAAGGGGUCCCCCUCCGUAAAGCACACAAAAGCAGAAGAAAUACUCCCAGAUCUAUGCUCUCUGUAGAUGACGAUGAGGAAACAGAUCAGCGAUGUGUCUGCCGAAGGAGAGAAAGGCCUAACCAGUCUGCAGGAUACCAUGAUUGUGAGGAAGAAGAGAGGAGGGAGCUGAGGAGAGCUGAGCUUUGUGAGACGGAGCUGUUCUUCACUGACCUCCGUCCGAAAAGAAAGGAUGCUGUUCAGGAAUUGGACCAGCUGUCCGUGGGGGUGGAGCAGAUGGAGCUGGAAGGGCGGAGUCAGGAGGCCGGCCUAGGUGACAGCAAGGCAGAGGCAGACAGUACCAGUUGUCAGCUUCGACGGUUGCAGAGGCAGAGGGACUGUUGCGAGCAGGAGGUCAGGAAUAGGGAGGAGGAGAUGGCUGCUCUGUGUAAACACAAACGUGUCCACACAGACAAUUCGUUGUCCUUCAGGAGAAGUGUCAGAAUGUCUGUCCUUGAGAGAGAAGAGUUGGACAGACAGCUGGAGAGUGCCAAAACAGAGCUGUUUGCUGAGCAACGGCGUUCUAGACUCAAGCUGGAGACCGUGCAAGAGAGAUUGGAUGAGGCUCGUGAGCAACUCCAGCAUGUGACAGAUGAGGAGAGGUCACUAAGGGACAGGUGUGCAUGUCUGGAGGAGAAACACAGGCAGAAACAGGAGCAGGAGGAGGCAGUGUGGUUGAUGGUUUGUAAACUGCAGACUGAGCUGGGGGAGAGUGAGAGCAGUGUGGGAGCCCUGGAGAGGAUAGUUGCCCAGAAGGAGCUGCAGCUGCUGGGACUCCAGGAGGAAAUGGGUGCCCUGCAGGCACAGAGAGAUGGCCUGCAGGAGGAGCUCCAGAGCAUGAGGGAGCAGCACAGCAUUACCCUAAGAGAGAUCCAAGAGCAGGCUCAUAUUCAAGCUGAAGAAGAGAAAGCAAUGGCUCUCAGAGCACAGGCCCUGUCUCACACCAAGCACACCGAGUCCGUACAGAAACACCUCCAGAUGAAGGAGGAGGAAGGCAGGAAGCUGAAGGAGGCCCUUCAGAAGCAGAAAGAGGUGAUGAGGAGGCGAGAGGAGGAGCUGCGUGCUGAAGCUCAGAAGAUGAUUAACACCUUAGAGCAGGAGAGGAAGACAUGGGAAAGAGUAAAGAAAGAAGCUCUACAGGUGCAGUCUGGGAUACUGGAGGAGCAAGGCCGGAAGGCUCUGGAGACCAUCCGUGGGGAAUUUGAGACGGAGAAGAGGAAUGCCUUGGUUCUUCAGAACAAAGUGGUGGAAUUACAGACAAGAGUGCAGGAGCUGGAGAGUGAGAGCCGCACGCAGCGGAGGAAGUGGUCUGAGAUGAGCGAGUCCCUGAAAGAGGAGCACCAAGCUGAGCUACAAAGAGUACACAGGCUCAUGGAGCAGGAGGGCCAGAGGGAGACGUUGAGGCUGGAGCAGGUUGUCCGGCGGGCGGAGGAGGAGGCGGGCAGGCUGCAGGCAUUGCUGGCGGAGAGGGAGCACAGAUACAAGCAAGCCACGGCCAGGCUGGAGCAGCAGCUCAGACACUGGGCCCAGGAGCUGGGAGACGAGUGUCAGCAUCUACAGCACCUGCUGGAACACACCGGGUCCAUACACAGCUCCCUUCAGCUCCCACACAGUCCUACAGUGGCCCAAGCUGUUCCCAUCCUGCAGGCUCUCAGAGAGCAGUUGCAACAAUCAGUCAACCAACUACAGCAGGAGCUGGAGUCACAGAGACGCAGCACUCAGCAGCUGAGCCUGGACAAGGCGCAGAGUUUACGUGCUCAGAGGGAGCAGAUGUUGAUGGAGAGAGACCAGGCUCUGGGCUCACUGAAGGAGAGACUCAUUAAGGAUCACAUUGAGGAGCUGAGCGUUCUCCAGCGGGCCCAGGUGUGGGAGGGAGGAGAGGAGACAGGAGGUGUUGUUGCUUCCUUGCGCAGGCAGCUGCAGGCUAAAGACCAGGAACUGCACCAGGUACAGAGGAGCAUGGGUCAGUGGAAGGAGCAGAUGACAGCUCGUCUGGCGGGCAAGUUUGAGGCGGAGCUGACGAGCGAACUUGUGAGGUGCAAAGCAAAGUUGCUUAAUUGGAGAAAGGCACCUAAGGCACAAGAGGAGAAGCAGAGGAAGCUGGAGAAACUGGAGGAGGAAAUGAGACAUAUUACUGAGACAUGCAGUGUGUCUGGAGCCCAGCAGUCAGCCUCUUCUCCCUCCCUCCACAUGAGGCGUCCCCAUGCCCCUCCUGGGCCUUCAGACCUGGCUUCCUUCAAGCUACUACAUCAUCUCCAGAGCCGGGUCAAACAGCUCCGUGCUGAGAACCAGGCCCAUUCCUUUAGCGCCACUCUCCUGGGAAAUGCCCUUCCAGGCAGGUCUCCAAUGGAGCUGGCUGGGUCCUACCUGGAGACGAUACCACUGUCCCAGGACUGCUCUCGGUUUUGGAAUCUUUCGUGUUCCAGGACAGUCCAGAGUUAA